rnacentral:tRNA from 1 species
UGCCCGAUGGUGUAACGGUAGCACUACAGUUUUUGGUACUGUCUGUCGGGGUUCGAAUCCCUGUCGGGUAA